AGCGUGGCUUGUCUCUUCAGCGGUGGGGAAUUUCUGCACUGAACUAAGAAAGCAACUAAGAAUUACCUGUCUAGGAAAUGUGGACUAUGUGGGACAGGAGGAAUGAAAGGCUAAGGUCCUCACAUCACCUGUGUGCAAGUGUCGUUCACACCUACAUUUGCUGGAAGUGUAGCACAAGAGUCAGAAUAUUGGUAACAAUUACUGCAAGAACUCUGGGAUGUAGUUCCAAUGUGCAAAAUCUUAUAUUUGAAAUAAACACAGUACAGCUUA